rnacentral:rRNA from 1 species
CACGUAGGGGGCGAGCGUUGUCCGGAUUUAUUGGGCGUAAAGAGCUCGUAGGUGGCUCGGUAAGUCGGGUGUGAAAUUUCGAGGCUCAACCUCGAGACGCCACCUGAUACUGCUGUGGCUAGAGUCCGGUAGGGGAGCGUGGAAUUCCUGGUGCAGCGGUGAAAUGCGCAGAUAUCAGGAGGAACACCGGUGGCGAAGGCGGGUCUCUGGGCCGAUACUGACGCUGAGGAGCGAAAGCGUGGGGAGCGAACAGGG